GACGAACGCUGGCGGCGUGCUUAACACAUGCAAGUCGAACGGUGAAGCGCCUUCCUUUUUGGUGGGUGUGGAUGAGUGGCGAACGGGUGAGUAACACGUGAGUAACCUGCCCCCUUCUUCUGGAUAACCGCAUGAAAGUGUGGCUAAUACGGGAUAUUCUGGGUCUGUGGCAUGAUGGGUCUGGUGAAGAUAUUGUGUCGGGGGGGGAUGGGCUCGCGGCCUAUCUGCUUGUUGGUGGGGUGCUGGCCUACCAAGGCGGGGGCGGGUAGCCGGCCUGAGAGGGUGGCCGGCCACACUGGGACUGCGCCACGGCCCAGACUCCUACGGGACGCAGCAGUGGGGAAUAUUGCACAGUGGGCGCAAGCCUGAUGCAGCGACGCCGCGGGAGGGAUGGAGGCCUGCGGGUUGUGAACCUCUUUCGCCAGUGAAGCAGGCCUGCCUCGUAUGUGGGUGGGUUGACGGUAGCUGGAGAAGAAGCGCCGGCUAACUACGUG
rnacentral:rRNA from 1 species